UAUAUUUAAGUUGUUGCAGUUAAAAAGCUCGUAGUUGGAUUUCGGCUAAGAGCGACCGGUCCGCCGUUUGGUGUGCACUGGUUGGUUUUAACUUCCUGUAGAGGACGUGCUCUGGGCUUAACGGUCUGGACUCGGAGUCUACGUGGUUACUUUGAAAAAAUUAGAGUGUUCAAAGCGGGCUUACGCUUGAAUAUUUCAGCAUGGAAUAACACUAUAGGACUCCUGUCCUAUUUCGUUGGUCUCGGGACGGGAGUAAUGAUUAAGAGGAACAGUUGGGGGCAUUCGUAUUUCAUUGUCAGAGGUGAAAUUCUUGGAUUUAUGAAAGACGAACUUCUGCGAAAGCAUUUGCCAAGGAUGUUUUCAUUAAUCAAGAACGAAAGUUGGGGGCUCGAAGAUGAUUAGAUACCAUCCUAGUCUCAACCAUAAACGAUGCCGACUAGGGAUUGGCGGAUGUUAAUUGAUGACUCCGCCAGCACCUUAUGAGAAAUCAAAGUUUUUGGGUUCCGGGGGGAGUAUGGUCGCAAGGCUGAAACUUAAAGGAAUUG
rnacentral:rRNA from 1 species